rnacentral:lncRNA from 1 species
AUGAGCCCACAUCCAGGCCAGUUACUGGCGGCUAAGAAGAGGAUGUAUCCAAGCAGCGUUUGUGGGCCCCUCUGGUUUGGGUCCGUCUCCAUCGAGUCUUGCAUGAGCCUACAUCCCCGUCACAGAAGCUGUGAGGAUCUUACCUGCCCUUUGAGUGGCACAACUUUCAUAAAGGAGGCUAUGCACAGACAUCUAUCUGAUCACACAGCAGGAGGUUCUGCAAGAAAUCAAGGUGUGCUAACCAAAGGGAGAAAAAAGAACAAAGUUUUCCCUAGUCACAAGGAAUAUAAAAAGGCACAGGCAGUUCUUCCCAUCCCCAAAAGCCCAAGUAUUUUGGAUGUCCCGGGGGAACCUCUGCAGCACCUCAGCAGAAAAGGCAGCCUGGUUUCUGAGCUCUCCUCAGAGCCAGGCUGGAAAGGUCACGUCUCCUCACCUUUAGGAAGCCCCCAAACCAUCCAUAGCCUCUCCUCUCAAUGUGCAGCUAGAUAUCCACCCCUGGGGCUCUCUACCAAAAUUACACCUCUUCAGGAGUGAACAGACACAGCAGGCUUGGAGGGAGCUGAUGGUCACAGUCAGGAGUCAUCUCCUGCAGGUAAACCACCACUGAGCACCAGUUCAUGGGGCCAGGCAGCAGGUACAUGAUCACAAAGUGCCUCCCCACAUCACACUGAGCACACCUGUAAGAAACCUCUGUUUGCUUGGUCAAUGCCAAGCAUGCUUGCUUGCCUAAACCCUUUUCCUAAUGCUCCCAGCAAAACGUGCAAGGCCUCACAGGGGAUAAAAGAAGAGCCCUUCAGAGGACGCUUGCUCCUUCCAGGAGACGCCCCUCUCCCACCAGGGCAACAAUCUGACUUAUUUAUGAGCCACCCAUCACCGUGGCAUCAGCAAGGUUUCUAAAGCUCCUUGCUCUAUGCCAGAGAGACAUGGCAACCCUCUGUAUUUCACUGCAUCACAAAGCAAACAACCAGACAAUACCUCCAGAAGACAGCAGGCUGGGGCAUCUGUUCGAGUUUCCCAGAGACCAUCUGAAUUUAUACUUUUCCUUUUAUUUAUGCCAUUAUUUUUUUUUUCUACUGGUUAUUGAUGAUGUUUCUCAUUUGUUUUUAUUAGAUGCAGGUGUUUUCUGCCCUUCAGCUGGGAGCACUUUCUCUUUUCAGCCAAUUCCAGCUCUACUUUGUGCCUCGGUCACCUUUUGACUGUGAUACUGGAGAGGCAGAGAAUGGGAGAGGGAAAAAAAAAAAAAAGGAGAGCGGGAGAGAUACCGAUUUUUGCUGCCUCAGCAGAUGUGUGUUAAAGUGUUUUAGUGAUUCAGCCAGUGCGCCUGCCUGAGGCCAAAGGAGAGGCAUUGUCUGAAUCUAAAACAAUUAAUAACAAAAAAAGAAUGUGGGCAGCACGGAGCGGGGGAAGGUGGAGGUGGAAAGCGAGCGAAUCGCGGGGAUAUUUUGAGCUUGCCGAGCACCUCGACGAGAAGAUUCCCAACUGCUUUCGAAGGCAGCCGCCUGAACCCACCCGGUUCCCUCUGAUAUGCAGGAUU